rnacentral:rRNA from 1 species
AUGUUCCUUUUUGUUUUUGUUUUGAAUUGAUCGGGUGAUCUUUUACCUUGGAAAAUUAUAGAGUUACCUCAUGAGGAAUUAGCAGCGCCCACGAAUCAUAUAAAUACUACUAUUGCUUUAGCUUUACUCAUGUCAGCGGAGGCAUAUUUUUAUGCCGGUCUUAGCAAAAAAGGAUUGAGCUCUUUCGAGAAAUAUAUUAAACCAACUACAAUCCUUUUACCAAUUAACAUUGAGGUACCCAUCGCUCUCGGUUACAUAUUUUUCACACUGUGA